ensembl:lncRNA novel transcript, antisense to PTPRM
UCGUGUUUACCUCUUAACAUUUUUUCCUGUGGGAGAAAGGAUCACCACAGCUUCCUACACAAAGUAGUUGUUGUUUGCAAAAACCACUUAGAGCUUUUCCUGCUGUCUGAAAUUUGUCAUUCACCAUCUCAUCAAAAACGAUCCAAUUUCCAUCAUUGAUUGCACUAUUUGAAAAGAUCCUUUUAUACAAUGAAGAGGCAAACGUGGUGGAAUCAAAUCCUCAUUUAUGACUAGCCCCAGUAUGUAGAGAUUGGAAGACACUCUGAAUUGUAAAGGAAUUUAAAGUAUAUUGAUCAACUGCCUGGGUGCUACUAAAUAAGAUAGGAAGGAAGAAAACUAAUCUUUUUGAAGACCUACUUUAUAUGCUGGGUAACUUAUAUAAUUUUUAUUUAAUAUUAUACCAUGAAGUAUAAUUAAUACCAGUUUACAAAUGAGGAAACUGAAGCAACAGAAGCCAUCAAGAUAAACAGCUUGUCCUAAGUCAGUGAAAGAGAAGGAAUGGUGCUAUACUCUGAACCCAGGGUGUCUGACUGUGAAGCUGACUCCUAUUUCAUUGCACUACAGCAUUCCCCAAUAUAAUACAGAAAACUCAAGUGGUUAUUGCUCAUGCUAUGGAAUACAAGACUCAAGUUAAAAGUGAUCUUGGUCAGUUGUAAAGAGGAGGGCCUAACAAAAGAAUGAAAAAGGAAAGAAUGAAAAAGGAAAGAAUGAACAAUUCAAUAAGGAACUAAUAAUUCCGAAAGAAAAACAAGAGGAGAAAGGACUUCCUGGCCAAAGUGCAGAAAAGAAAGAUCUGGUAAUAUGAUCAAUACAAUUCUGAAAUGUAUGAGAGUAAUGGCAUGCACAUAAUCCUGGAGCAUGAUAUACUAGUCAUCAUGUGGAUGAGGAAAAGGAAUCAAAGAAAAGAAGCACAAAUGAUCAACGAGGUAAAAAAGAAGGACUACGAAGAAGGAUAAAAGGAACUAGGGUCAUUUAUCUAAUGCAGGAGAAGGCAAGCAGGUGACCUGCCAUCGGAGCUUCCCAAGAGUAAAGAUCAUUUCUUACCACCUUUGCUGUCUAGUGAUUAACAGUCUCUUUAACACGGUGGGCAUUUGACAAGCCUUUACUGAACGGAUAUUGUAAAAGACACAAGAAGCAUUUGUAAAGAGAACAAUAACCAUGAGUGGUCUGUGUAUAGAUGGAGAAAAAUAUUUUUGAACAUAUAAGUGUAAAAGCAGGAGUUCAAGUUUGUACAGAGAAAGGCUGAGAGAGGCUUUCCCCUGUCUAUGCACAAUGUAGUCAGUAUUCAGUAAAAGAGCAAGUAAAUGAAUUUUGGUUGUAUUCAGUCCAUGAAACUGGAAUAAAUUACAAAGGAGGUUUAUUCCGCCCUUGGGUUAAAGAAUUGUCAUCUGACACUAGAGAGGUCAGUUAUUACUGUCCUUCCCAAUCUCUAACAAGUCUAAAAAUGCUACAUAUUUUUUUCUUUAUUCUCACUGCCAUCUAUUUCUCUUCUGGAUUUUUAUGCCUGACUCCCAAGUAGAUACCUUAGCCAGUGUCUUUGACAUAGUGCAGCCGUAUGGAUCUUCCUAAAUAAUAGCUCCAAUCAAGUCACUCUUUCAUUUAAAAAAACAAAAUCAAAUCCAAGAGCUUCUAAAUGAUUAUUUCAAAAGGCCUUCCAUGAGCUAACUCCAACCCCCUUUCCUAAUAUUAUGCCACCCUCCUUUCUGAAAUACACCAAACGGAAAUGCCCAGUUUCCCCAAACCCUCAAUAUUUCCCUUCCCAAGGCCUUUGCUCCUGCUGCAUAGGAGCUUUCCCUACUCAAUUUGUGUAGGUUCAAAUCCUAUCCAUCUUCAAAGGCCACACAUUCCAACUACUGCUCCUAAUUGCUUUGCAGAAAAGUAUUCUCUCUCCUGCUGAACUCCUAGAGCACCUUGCUUGUCCCCUCUUGCACAGAACUUAACUAUUUUCAAACUCAAGUUCAGUUAUUUUGGUAAAUCUUUAUGUCAUACACUAAACAUAAAUUCCUUGAGACAAAAGUAGUCUUACUCAUCUUUGUGGCCCUCACAUGCUAAGAAAGAAGGAAGAUGUUUGAACAUGAGCUCCACUGAGGAUGCCAAGAGAUGGCCAGGAAGAAAAGAAGGGUUUUUCUUAGUAUGGUGAUGACAGAUGAGAGUCUACUGUGGUUUGAAUGUCCUCUGCAAAAUUCAUGUUGCAAAUUUAGUUGCCAUUGUAAGAGUC